rnacentral:lncRNA from 1 species
UCAGAAUCUCUAAUAUCAAUUAUAUUAGCCGAGUUAUAAGCUGGUGUCAGAGUUAUAAGCUGGUGUUAGCAGUCAUACAAUCUCUAAUAUCAAUUAUAUUGGGUCAGAAUCAUAAAAGCAUUACACACAAUUUAUAUUGAAUAAACUAGAAUAACUUUCAUAAUGAUUCAGAGCUACAGAUUACAUGGUCAUGAGUUAGAACAGAAUCAUCUAUGACCUAAUCAAUGGAAAUUAGCCACUCAUAAUAAAAGAAUUUAAGCAACAAGGUUAAAAGAAAUUACAAAGAGAUGUUUUGCUCAUCAGAAUUUCUUCAAUCCGUGAUGCCUACUGUCUUCUAUCUCUCUAUGCGUGCGUGUGUCUUGCUUCUGACAUCCAUUCUUUCCCAAAACCGUCCUUUUCACCGAAAAUCAGAUCCUCCCCUUAUGUGUUGUGCAGCUGGCUUUAUAUAUAUCCUUCUAUAUUCUAAAGUGUCAUUUUCCUUUUGUUCCAACUUGUGGCCUCGGGUCAAACAUCACUUUUGGGUCAAAGCCCAAUUGCCUUGUUUCUAACCUCACGUGCUUCCCUUUUGUUACAAUUUGUAAUCCUUUUCCACAUUAAUUCACAAACCAUGUUUUUGUUUAUUCUCUACUAACCAUAUUAAUUUACCAAUAGAACAUUACUUGACUCAUUAAAUUAAUAACAACAAUUUAUUUAAAAGGACUCUAAUUUAAGUACUAAACUAAUAAAAAUUGACUAAAAUCUCAAUUAAAAGUGACUCAAAAAAUAGUGUAUGACUGACUAUCAUCACAACCCCAAAUUUGAACCGUUACUUGUACUCAAGGAACCAACUUAAAAUGAAAAAUAACAGUAAAAUAACACUUACUUCACCAAUGGGCAUAUCAAAAGUUCAUCUCCCUAGUUAGCAAGUGAUAAGCUAACUUGCUUGGUAACACAUCCAUUCCACAACUUCUCGCAACAAUAUUGAAAUAUAACAUGGUUCACUUAGUCGACAUGUAGAACUAUACUAUAUUACCAAAACUUGAAAAAUUUCUAAGAAUCAAUCAAAGUCAAUAUUAUGUACACUUUUAAGGACUUUUUAGGUUAUAACGGGGCUUAGGUUAGGGGUGGGAUCAUUUGGAAAGUAGGUUUAAGAAAACAAUGGAGUUAGACAUCAUCCUACUGAUCUAAAGCACACCACAGACCACAAUAUCAUAUCAGGGGACUAGAGAUUUUUUUUUAUUUUUACUAAAUGAAACAACUAAUCACUUUUUGACUAUUAAGCAUUUUUUUUUUAAGCUGCAAAUUUGACAAUUCAGCUUAUUUUAUCAUGCUUAUUAUUAUUUUUAUAGCACAAAGUGAUUUUCUAUUCCGCUCUCUAGUACCCCUACCCCAAACUUAGAGUGUUGCUAGUUCCAGGAGCAACCCCAAACUUGAACUUUUCAAAAUAACACACAUAAACAUGCCUAACUCCAACAAAAUUUUGGGUACAUUCCUAAAGUCUCUAGGCUUGUAAUGUGGUUAGUCACCGAAACAAGGGGUCUAAAUCCUAGUGGCUCAACUUGGUUUAAACAAAGGAUAAUUCAAUAUAAACAAAACAAAGGUGGGCUACAAAGGCUCAAGGUACUAGCAAUUUGCCUUAGUGUGUAUAAUAUAUGACCAAUCAAUUACAAAGAAAAAUCGCAAAUCAUAGAAAUAGCAUCUACAUGGAAACACUCAUAUUUGUAAAAAUGAAAAAUAAAUUUCGGCCAUAACCUGACAAGCUGAGGUUUCUGGAAGUUGUGGUUACCUAAGCAUCUUUUCUGCCGUACGCUUCCCUUAUAGAUCAUGCAAACACUACCUCCUUUGAACUUUUGACAAACCAUUGAUGAAAUCUUUGUUACUGAACCGGUAACUUUAAAAAAAAGUAAAUUCAUUAAUAAUAAACGAUGAGUUAUUGAACAAAAUAAAAUAAAAAAUAAGAACUGACGUGGACUUUUUUUUUCGUCCAUCUUUUCACUUUUUUUUUUCUUUCUUCUUUUUUUUUUUUCGUUUUUUUUUUUACUGAAUAUAAAUACCUGGAAAAAAAACAUUAAAAAAAGGAUGAGUUGCCUCCCAUCAAGCGCUUUCUUUUACGUCAUUGAGCUUGACGCUUCAACCACUGUUAGGGUGGCAAAUAUGACAGGAAAAAUAUAUCAUCCUUCUUCUUCGUUUUGUUUGGUAGGAAUUCCAUGAACUUCAUAGAAAGAAGCAGAUGCUUCCAUGCUCCCAUUGUUAAACUUUUGAAAUUUAAGCUUUCCCACCUUAAAGAAGGAUAUGUAUUCAUUUGCACAUGAGUGAGUUCUUCAGACCCCAUUUGCUGAGACUUCAGGUAGAGACCAACCCUCAUUACUUGUGGAUUGUCGUCCACCAAAGUAGCUUGACACUCAGUCUCCAUCUCAACCAACUUUUGCUGAGACUCGUAUGCUUUCUCAACAAGAUUACCACAUUGAACUUCAAAUUUCUCAAAUGAAACUUGAUUUGACAUCAAGAAACCAUCUAAAAUAUUUUGAAGUUGAGAGUUAUAAUCUAUGUUGACCUCUUCAUGCUCUUUUUCUUUAACUAUGAAUUGCUCCUCACAAAAUAGACCACCAUGAUAACCUCCACAAAAUUCACAAGUCAUACUCAAUCUUGUUUCCAAAUCCUUUAUAUGUAGAGAGAUCAUCAAUUUUUCAUAAUAGAGGAUAUUGAUCUCUUCAGAAUGAACUAGUAAUCGACUAUCCCACAUGGCUACAAAACUCAGAGAAACCUUUCAGUAGCAAUGCACAAAGAAAUAGAUAUGACGAGCAUAAAUCAUAAUAUUUUUUCUAUAUAUAAACAAAAAUAUAAAUGACAGAAAUCCUAAAUAAUAAUAACGAAAUUGCCUCGUUGAAAUAAUUCAACAGUCCCCGGCAGCGGCGCCAAAAACUUAUAGAAAAUUAGCAAGUGUACUAAUUUAUAUCGAAGUAAUAAUUUAAUUCGUAUCCACAGGGACUGUUCUAAUCUCUACUUAGCAAUUUCAUUAAUAUUUAGGAUGUAUGUAAAUGGGGGUUGCCCUAGGCAGUUGGUUUGAUUGCAUAAAAAGUAAAUAAAUGACUGAAGAAUAAAAUCGGUUUGGAGAUGUGUUUAAAGAAGGGAUUAAGUCUUUCGAUUCAUCUGUCCAUCGCUCAUUAGUAAUCUGCAUCUAAAUCAUAUGAUUGCUAUUCAGUUUACGACAAUUAACAAAAUAGCUCAGGUCAAUCCCUUGACUCAGAACCCUCUUUUCUAAUUAUAAUUCCCUAAUUCCUCAGGUGAACCUAUAAUCAUAAAAGCAUUACGCACAAUUUAUAUUAAAUAAACUAGGAUAACUUUCAUAAUAAUUCAGAGCUACAGAUUACAUGGUCAUGAGCUAAUACAAAAUCAUCUAUAACCUAAUCAAUGGAAAUUAGCCACUCAUAAUAAAAGAAUUUAAGCAACAAGGUUAAAAGAAAUUACAAUGAGAUGUUUUGCUCAUCAGAAUUUCUUCAAUCCGUGAUGCUUACUGUCUUCUAUCUCUCUAAUGCGUGCGUGUGUCUUGCUUCUGACAUCCAUUCUUUCCCAAAACCGUCCUUUUCACCGAAAAUCAGAUCCUCCCCUUAUGUGUUGUGCAGCUGGCUUUAUAUAUAUCCUUCUAUAUUCUAAAGUGUCGUUUUCCUUUUGUUCCAACUUGUAGCCUCGGGUCAACCAUCACUUUUGGGUCGAAGCCCAAUUGCCUUGUUUCUAACCUCACGUGCUUCCCUUUUGUUACAAUUUGU